rnacentral:rRNA from 1 species
GACGUAGGGGGCGAGCGUUGUCCGGAUUUAGUGGGCGUAAAGCGUGCGUAGGCGGCUGCGCAAGUCGGGUGUGGAACCCCGGGGCUCAACCCCGGAACUGCAUCCGAUACUGCGUGGCUAGAGGUAGGUAGGGGAGAUCGGAAUUCCUGGUGUAGCGGUGAAAUGCGCAGAUAUCAGGAAGAACACCCGUGGCGAAGGCGGCUCUCUGGGACGGUACUGACGCUGAGACGCGAAAGCGUGGGAAGCAAACAGG